GAUUCCGCAAGUAGUGGCGAGCGAACGCGGAAGAGGGCAAACCGGAAGUAGAAAUACUUCCGGGGUACGGACUGCUUUUAGGACUUAAUCUGUUAACCGAACGGCAUGGGAAGGCCGGUCAGAGAGUGUGAGAACCACGUAGGUGAAAACGGAGAGAGCUGCGCAGGAUCCAGAGUACGGCCAGACACGUGAAACCUGGUCGGAAUACGGGGGGACCACCCUCCAACCCUAAAUACUACCCAGUGACCGAUAGCGUAUAGUACUGUGAAGGAAAGGUGAAAAGCACCCCGGGAGGGGAGUGAAAAAGAACCUGAAACCCUGUGCCUACAAGCACCUAGAGCACGUCAAUGUGUGAUAGGGUACUUUUUGUAGAACGGUCCGGCGAGCGAUUGUAUGCAGCAAGGUUAAGGACUUAAGGUCUGGAGCCGAAGCGAAAGCGAGUUUGAAAAGGGCGUUAAGUUGCAUAUAAUGGGCCCGAAACCGGGUGACCUACCCAUGGUCAGGUUGAAGUGGAAGUAAAAUUCCAUGGAGGACCGAACCGACCUCCGUUGAAAAGGCGGCGGAUGAACUGUGGGUAGCGGAGAAAUUCCAAUCGAACCCGGAGAUAGCUGGUUCUCCCCGAAAUAGUUUUAGGACUAGCCUCAAGUUAGAUACCUGGAGGUAAAGCACUGAAUAGCCUAGCGGCCGAGAGGUUAGCGAAGCUUAUCAAACUCAGAAUGCCAGAGUAUUGAUGCUUGGGAGUCAGACAGUGUCAGAUAAAUGUCAUUGUCAAAAGGGAAACAGCCCAGAUCUACAGCUAAGGUCCCAAAGUCAGGUUAAGUGGAAAACGAUGUGAAGAUACGUAGACAACCAGGAUGUUGGCUCAGAAGCAGCCACUCAUUCAAAGAGUGCGUAAUAGCUCACUGGUCGAGCGUCUUUGCGCGGAGAAUUUAACGGGGCUAAACCUGACACCGAAGCUUAGGCAAUGUAGUAAUACAUUGGGUAGGGGAGCGUUGUAUACGCGGUGAAACAGUAGCGCAAGCGGCUGUGGAGUGUAUAGAAGUGAGAAUGCCGGAAUGAGUAGCGCGAAUGCAGUGAGAAUCUGCAUGGCCGAAAGCCUCAGGUUUCUGGAGGAAGGUUCGUCCGCUCCAGGUUAGUCGGGAGCUAAGGUGAGGCCUAACGGCGUAGCCGAUGCACAGACGGUAGAGAUUCCGUCACCACCAAAAGAGUUAAGCACAGGGACACAUUUGAAGUCUCGGAGCCGGGUGUUGGUUCCGGUAGCGAUCGAGGGAAGUUAGUACCGAAGUCCGGGAUGGAAGAUGGCGAGAAAAGCUGUGUGUAUUUCUGCGGUGCCCGUACCGCAAACCGACACAGGUAGGUAGGAAGAAGAUUCUAAGGCCAACGGGAGAAGGGUUGUUAAGGAACUCGGCAAAUUGACCCCGUAACUUCGGGAGAAGGGGUGCUCCAGAGAUGGAGCCGCAGAGAAUCGGCCCAAGCAACUGUUUACCAAAAACACAGGUUUGUGCUAAAUCGAAAGAUGACGUAUACGAGCUGACGCCUGCCCGGUGCUGGAAGGUUAAGAGGAGAUGUGCAAGCAUUGAAUCGAAGCCCCAGUGAACGGCGGCCGUAACUAUAACGGUCCUAAGGUAGCGAAAUUCCUUGUCAGGUAAGUUCUGACCCGCAUGAAAGGCGUAAUGAUUUGGGCACUGUCUCGACAGCCCGCCCGGCGAAAUUGUAGUACCGGUGAAGAUGCCGGUUACCCGCGACAAGACGGAAAGACCCCAUGGAGCUUUACUGUAGCCUAAUAUUGGGUUUCGAUGUUGCAUGCACAGGAUAGAUGGGACACUGGGAAACAAUCGCUUUGGCGGUUGCGGAGUGGCCGUUGGGAUACCAUCCUUGCGAUAUUGGAAUUCUAACCUGCG
rnacentral:rRNA from 1 species